GAGAAGCGACACAGCUUGCUAUUAAAAUUCUCAUUGAAAUUGGCGUUGAUAUAUUGGAUCUCUAAGUCAAGCUGCAAUUUUCAUUGGCUGGGUAUACUUGGGAUGCGCAAUAUCCUUGUAUUUCUACUAUGUUGACGAUUUGAGUGUUUAUAACCUCACAUUCAUGUGAUGUAGGAUAUAGCAGAGCAAGAAAUAUUCCUCUGAGCAGUGCAGUUAAAAGAAAAAAAUGUUUUAAUUAUUGUUCGAUGUCCGCUUUUAACAUCCACCAUUUAUUACCGGUACUUUGUCAUUAGAUAUAUGACCAUCAACACACAUCUAGUGACAAAAAACCGCGGAUACUUUUUAGAUGAC